AUGAAACCAGAGAUCAAAUUUUGAAAGGCAAAUGGCAAAGAAAGAAGAAAGAUCAUUGCCAUUAGACAGAAAGAAAAGUUGUGUCAACAAGGGCCCAGAGGCAAGUUAUGCUGGGCAUGGGGUCUGGCUCCACUCUCAAAAUGUGCCUGGGAUGGAGAAUUGUGAGAGUUCAUGAACAGCACUGCCCAACAAUUUAUUGGAAGAGCAGCUGGAACCACAAAGCAAUUGUAUCUCUGGUAGAUAAAGCAUUCUCUCAACUGCUGGGGAAAUGUGUUUUGACAUCACAUUAGGAUUAAAUCAGUUAUGCAAUAUUU